CUCUGUCCUCCAGCUGUCUUUU
rnacentral:miRNA from 12 species